rnacentral:rRNA from 1 species
UACGGGGGGGAGCAAGCGUUGUUCGGAUUUACUGGGCGUAAAGGGCGCGCAGGCGGCUCAUUUUGUCAGGCGUGAAAGCCCCGGGCUUAACCUGGGAACUGCGUUUGAUACGGAUGGGCUAGAGUUCGGGAGAGGAGAGUGGAAUUCCCAGUGUAGAGGUGAAAUUCGUAGAUAUUGGGAAGAACACCGGUGGCGAAGGCGGCUCUCUGGACCGAUACUGACGCUGAGGCGCGAAAGCGUGGGGAGCAAACAGG